GAUGAACGCUGGCGGCGUGCUUAACACAUGCAAGUCGAACGAAGCAUGGAGAGGGAAGCCUUCGGGUGGAACACUCUAUGACUGAGUGGCGGACGGGUGAGUAACGCGUGGGGAACCUGCCCUAUACAGGGGGAUAACGGUGGGAAACUGCUGUUAAUACCGCAUAAGCGCACAGAGCUGCAUGGCUCAGUGUGAAAAACUCCGGUGGUAUAGGAUGGACCCGCGUCUGAUUAGCCAGUUGGCGGGGUAACGGCCCACCAAAGCGACGAUCAGUAGCCGGCCUGAGAGGGCGACCGGCCACAUUGGGACUGAGACACGGCCCAGACUCC
rnacentral:rRNA from 1 species